rnacentral:sRNA from 1 species
AGUAAAUCAAUAUACACCACGCUCACCUGCUGAUUAUGGACACCGUCGCCCUCAGAUCGAAUAUCUUCAUCCAUAGGAAUAACUUCUUCAUGUUACACCGCGACAGAAAAGAAGGAAAUAAGGAAAAAAUUAAUAAACCAGCAGGAACCUGAACAGCUUAGAAAACGAGAUAUUACCUCCGCCUCCUUGUAACCAGCACCACUUGAGACAUUAUAAUUAUAG